rnacentral:rRNA from 1 species
GGAGGGGUGCUAACGUUGCUCGGAAUUACUGGGCGUAAAGCGCAUGUAGGGCGGUCUAUCAAGUCUCGUGUGAAAGCCCUGGGCUCAACCCAGGAAGGGCACGGGAAACUGGCAGACUAGAGUACGGUAGAAGUGGGCGGAAUUCCGGGUGUAGAGGUGAAAUUCGUAGAUAUCCGGAGGAACACCAGUAGCGAAGGCGGCUCACUAGCCCGAUACUGACGCUGAGAUGCGAAAGCGUGGGGAGCAAACAGGAUUAGAUACCCUGGUAGUCCACGCCGUAAACGAUGGAUACUAGGUGUUGGAGGCUUGACCCCUUCAGCGCCGCAGCUAACGCAAUAAGUAUCCCGCCUGGGGAGUACGGUCGCAAGACUA